CCGCUCGGAAAGCUAAAGCUCAGAGCACAGUUUGGUAGCCCUGCCCAGUCGGUCCCACAGCUCGCGGUGACACUCCUGUUCUGCCACAAUUUAUCACCUGAAGGAGGAGAGAGAGAAGGUGUGUGACCAUCGGGGAAGAGUGUCCAAGAGCAGGAAGCAGAUCGGACCCCAGUGUGUCUGGAGCAAGCGGGGGCGGGGAGUGGGGCAGAGGAGAUUGAGUGCUUCGUGGAAGCGAGCCCUGUUUUUCCCUUUGGUUUCUGAACUGGGCUUCCCAGGCAGGCCAGAUCCAAAAGGCUCCCUGCGCACCUCCCGCUUUCCUGCCCUGCCAACCACAUCUACUCUUCUUGGAAGGGCCUGGGCCCUGAGAGCAUCUGCUGGGCGGCUUCCUUCUUGAAGGUAUUAACACCCGAGAGUCAGCCUUCCUCUGUCCCCUGACCCUAACAAACUCUGAAGAAGGAAGGAUAUUGAGCACGGCAGUUAAAGACAUAAGUUUUGGACUUGGACAGACUUGGGUUAAAAUAUGAGCCUAAUCUGUAUGUGACGUUUGUGGCCCAAGAUCACUAGCUCUGUGACACUGAGAGAGUUACUCAACCUCUCCUGGCCUUGGUGUCCUCAACUGCGAUGGGGAAGGGUUGUAAGAAUUCAGUAAUAAUGACUCAGGCCAGGAAGGCUGCGCAGAGCCUGGCAUGCAGCUCUGUCCUCUGCUAUUGUCAGUUACUGGAGCUUUCUUUAUCUACCAAGUCGAGGAGAGCAGCUGGUGCUCUGCUGUGCUCCCGGCCCGUGAUUCCCGGAGUUGUUAUUGACAGUUCCGGAAUUUUUAGUUUAAAAAAGUUAAUCUCUACCUUUUUUCGAGACUUCUGACUUGCACAGUUAGAAUGAUCAAGCAGUUUUCCACCAGGGUGUGAACUGCUCAUCAGCUUGUGUCUCACGGCUGGCGUUGCUGGUGGACCCGGGCUGGUACUCAGAAGUGUGACACCCCUCAACAUGUGUGCUGUCCACUUCCACAUCUGCACAGGAAGAUUAUGGAAAAGUUCCUAUAAUUUCCUAGAAAAUAAGCAUCAUAGGGACAGCGAGUCUGGACAGUCUCGACUGGAUUAUGAAUGUGAAUGUUUUCUGAGCCCUUUAACUUUUCUUCAGAUGUUUGGUAUUAGCAAUAUUUUAAAAAUGAUUUUACUCUGAAACUGAUCUGGUCUAAUCCUUUCCAUGCAAAGAAUGCUGUAUUGGCUUUUUAUAAGGCACAGAUCAAUGUAAUAUCUGCUUAGCGCCAUGGAUGGAAUUUGUUCCUUUAUAAAGGAAAUAUCUCAAUAGAGGCAUUUAGUAUCUAUUUUCCAAUUUAUCAAGUGAAGUGGUGAAGCAGAUUUUCUUCAAUGGCAUGUAAUGCUGCUUUUUUGGUUUUAAAGUUUAACAUAUUCUAUAGUUUAAGAGCAAUGGAGGAGGCCAUUUGUGUCAAGAAUUGUCAGCUUCAGAGAGACAGAGGAGGAGGGAGAGAGAGAAAGGGAGAGAGGGAGACAGAGAGAGAGAGAGUGAGAGAGCUAGAGAGCGAGAAAAUUGUGAGAAAUAUUUAUAAGU